rnacentral:lncRNA from 1 species
GCCAGCUGAUCCAGGGCGGACUGCACAUGCGCGAAUCGCGCAGGUCAGGGCCGCCAGGCACCUGGAGUAGGGCAGUAUCAGGAUAGGCCUUACGGUAACAGGACGCUGCCGUUGGGAGUACCUAGUGUUUACCUAAUUCCAAGACUUAAACUACACAAAUGUGUAUGUUCUCCCUGAAGGCGGAGCUGGAGGCAUCUGGACUGACUUGACAGAGUUGGAUUGUGCAGGCUGGCAAGGGUCGCCUGCAGUAGAAACACGUGGGAGCUCGCUGGCGCAGAAGCCCUGGACCCAGCCGAGACAGGGAAAUGAACACCUCAAACAUCAUGGCCUUUAACCCAGAGACAUGGUUUAUUGGAAAGGACACCUGCAUCAAGAUUCCUUCCAGGAGGGUAUGGAGGAUCAUAAUAAUACCAGCAAUGGAUACUCUUCUGACCCCUCAAGCAAUAGCAGUUGUGCCAGUAUUCUGAAUUGGAAUGUCGCCUUCUGGUCCAAUACAACUCCACUGGUUGUGACAUCCACUACUUUCUCCAGGGAUCAUUAUCCUGGUCACCUUAUAGCAAUGGAAGUCCCAUCAAUAUCACCAGCAUCAUCACACCCAACGUCUUCACCCCACCGUUUGCUGUCAGCACCAUCUACUCAACUAGGAAAGUUUCAAUCAAUAGGGAACCCAAUGAAGCAGUGGAAACCUCCACUUUAAUUUCCAUAAGAAGCAGCAAGGAUUCUGAACAACAGCAACUCCUAUUAGACACUGACUUCAAAGAUGAAGAUUGGUCUGAACCAAUCUGGUUCUUGGUAUUAUAACCCAGCAUAUAUGCUAAUGCAUCCAGGUACUGAAUUUUGUUCUUUUCCAUUAUCUUCCUGGAUUGAGUACAGCUUGGGACACAUGACAGACUCUAUGCGAAUAAUCCCGAUUUAAUUCCCGAUUUGGGUGCUAGCACUUUAUUAUAAAAGAACAGCUGCUGAAUAUGCAGAAUCAGUAAUUAUAUCUUUAAAUAUAUUAGGCCAAAAAUUGAUCAUUUACUGUACUCCCAACUUAUACUUUUUAAUCCAUAUUCACCUACUAGAAAAUGAGCACUAGGUCUAUGGAAAUUAUGUCCAGACUUUAAAACAACAGGGAUAUCAAGUAUGAUGUAUAGAGAACACCUAGGAAACCUAGCAUAUAACACAUAUCAUUAUCCUUAGUAGUAUACCUCAGGCUUCUAGCUCAUAUCACAGAUUUCUACCCAAAGAAUAUAGGAAUCCAUUUUAAUAAAUCCAUGCCAGUCAUAUUGCAAGUUAUAAUUGUAACCUAUACAUUAAAAUUUAAUACAUAGAACUUUCUACUUUCUAAGUAAGUACAGACCCCCAAAUUAUGCUUGGGUUAUCCAUUUCAUUUAUACCCAGUUUACAACAUACGCCAAAAACAGAUUUGCUCAAGGGAAGGAAAAUCUUAAAGUUCCUUGUUGGACUGGUAGGGGGUUUAACUGGAGGAACAAUGGCAGUCACUUUUUCCUCAAUUCCAAAUCAAGUCACAUUAAAUUUUAAAAUCUUGAAAUAAAAAAGCUCAAUUUAAUACACAUAAAAUGAUACCUUUAUCAUCAUUGUGUACACAGAUGGAAAAAAUUAGCAUUAUAUUACAAAAAUUCCGCAUGAUGGUAAAAAUUUAAAUAAAUCAGCUGAAGGAAAUGCUGAAAAAUAACAAAAUAUCAAAAAAACCAAAAAUACUUCUCUGGCUGUAGCUUAUCAUUGUACACUUGGUUGAUAUGUGGAGUUCUCUUAAGAUAGCUAUAAUCUUAGUUUUCUUGACUGUUUCCAUUGCUGUGCAGAAGCUUUUGAUCUUGAUGAAGUCCCAAAAGUUUAUUUUCGCUUUUGUUUCCUUUGCCUUUGGAGACAUAUCUUGAA